rnacentral:rRNA from 1 species
CACGAACCGUCCAAACGUUAUUCGGAAUUACUGGGCUUAAAGAGUCCGUAGGCGGCUUUGUAGGUGAGGUGUGAAAUCCCUCGGCUCAACCGAGGAAUUGCGCUUCAAACCGCAGAGCUUGAGGAAGAUAGAGGAAAGCGGAACUGAUGGUGGAGCGGUGAAAUGCGUUGAUAUCAUCAGGAACACCGGUGGCGAAAGCGGCUUUCUGGGUCUUUACUGACGCUGAGGGAAGAAAGCUAGGGGAGCAAACGGG